rnacentral:rRNA from 1 species
UACAGGGGGGGCAAGCGUUGUUCGGAAUUACUGGGCGUAAAGGGCUCGUAGGUGGCCAACUAAGUCAGACGUGAAAUCCCUCAGCUUAACUGGGGAACUGCGUCUGAUACUGGAUGGCUUGAGUUUGGGAGAGGGAUGCGGAAUUCCAGGUGUAGCGGUGAAAUGCGUAGAGAUGUGGAGGAAUACCGAUGGCGAAGGCAGCCUCCUGGGCCAACACUGACGCUCAUGCACGAAAGCGUGGGGAGCAAACAGG